rnacentral:rRNA from 1 species
GUGGGGAAUAUUGGACAAUGGGCGAAAGCCUGAUCCAGCCAUGCCGCGUGUGUGAAGAAGGUCUUCGGAUUGUAAAGCACUUUAAGUUGGGAGGAAGGGCAGUAAGUUAAUACCUUGCUGUUUUGACGUUACCAACAGAAUAAGCACCGGCUAACUUCGUGCCAGCAGCCGCGGUAAUCCGAAGGGUGCAAGCGUUAAUCGGAAUUACUGGGCGUAAAGCGCGCGUAGGUGGUUUUGUAAGUUGGAGGUGAAAUCCCCGGGCUCAACCUGGGAACUGCCUACAAAACUGCAUGACUAGAGUACGGUAGAGGGUAGUGGAAUUUCCUGUGUAGCGGUGAAAUGCGUAGAUAUAGGAAGGAACACCAGUGGCGAAGGCGACUACCUGGACUGAUACUGACACUGAGGUGCGAAAGCGUGGGGAGCAAACAGGAUUAGAUACCCGAGUAGUCC